AGGAGCUAAUCGUGUAGAAAACUUUGAAACUUUCCUUUUGUAUAUUACAUUAAUCCAUAGAAGAAAAUCUCUUUUAAUGAGGAGUGAUGUAGUUACAAACUCUCCAGAGCCAUAAUUAGAGCAAACUAAUUGAAGUUGUGUUUUGACACACUUUCCAAAUUCACGGGUGCUGGAUGACAUAUUCACAACACUGUUGCUGCACAACCAUGGCGACGGCAAAAUCAUUAGGCUAAUAACACUUAUUUGCAUUCUAGCAUGCCAGCAGCUCUCCUGUUAAAUACUGUUUCAACCACUACUCGUUUACUGUAAGUUUCCACUGAAAGAUAUUAACAGUAAUUAUUACUACUUUUGUGGAAUUUUAAUGUAAAAAA
rnacentral:sRNA from 1 species